GCCGGCAUAGUAUAGUGGUUAGUACGUAUCGUUGUGGAGACCCAAAGGGUUAUUACACUCCCGAUACAGCCUCAGUUCGAUUCUGAGUGCCGGCA
rnacentral:tRNA from 1 species